ACACACAGGAAAGGUCGCUGGUUCAAAUCCCCCCGCCGACUAAAGUGAAAAUCUGACAAUGUGCCCUUGAGCAAGGCAACUAACCACACUGGCUCCUGUAAGUUGCUCUGGAUAAGAGCGUCUGCUAAAUGACUCCAAUUUCAAAGUGUAAAUUCACUUCCUGUAGUAGAGCCGGAAUGACUGCCUCAUGAAUAUUCAGAGACGGACUGUUGAAUGACUGCCUCAUGAAUAUUCAGAGACAGACUGUUGAAUGACUGCCUCAUGAAUAUUCAGAGACAGACUGUUGAAUGACUGCCUCAUGAAUAUUCAGAGACAGACUGUUGAAUGACUGCCUCAUGAAUAUUCAGAGACAGACUGUUGAAUGACUGCCUCAUGAAUAUUCAGAGACGGACUGUUGAAUGACUGCCUCAUGAAUAUUCAGAGACAGACUGUUGAAUGACUGCCUCAUGAAUAUUCAGAGACGGACUGGUACACUCCAAGACAAAAGCUUUUUAAAUGCUGUAAAUGUUUUACUCGUAACCUACAAGAUGAACUGAUUUUAACUUUCACCUGCUCUGACGUUCGUGUCUGAGAAGCACAUUAUUUUCUGCUCUGAUAGGAUAGUCUGAUAGGUUAGUUUAAUACACUGCUCUGAUAGGUUAGUUUAAUACACUGCUCUGAUAGGUUAGUUUAAUACACUGCUCUGAUAGGAUAGUCUGAUAGGUUAGUUUAAUACACUGCUCUGAUAGGUUAGUUUAAUACUCUGCUCUGAUAGUCUGAUAGGGUAGUUUAAUACACUGCUCUGAUAGGAUAGUUUUAUACACUGCUCUGAUAGGUUAGUUUUAUACACUGCUCUGAUAGGAUAGUCUGAUAGGUUAGUUUAAUACACUGCUCUGAUAGGAUAGUUUAAUACACUGCUCUGAUAGGAUAGUUUUAUACACUGCUCUGAUAGGGUAGUUUAAUACACUGCUCUGAUAGGGUAGUUUUAUACACUGCUCUGAUAGGGUAGUUUAAUACACUGCUCUGAUAGGGUAGUUUAAUACACUGCUCUGAUAGGAUAGUUUUAUACACUGCUCUGAUAGGGUAGUUUUAUACACUGCUCUGAUAGGAUAGUCUGAUAGGUUAGUUUAAUACACUGCUCUGAUAGGAUAGUCUGAUAGGGUAGUUUAAUACACUGCUCUGAUAGGGUAGUUUAAUACACUGCUCUGAUAGGGUAGUUUAAUACACUGCUCUGAUAGGGUAGUUUAAUACACUGCUCUGAUAGGAUAGUUUUAUACACUGCUCUGAUAGGAUAGUUUAAUACACUGCUCUGAUAGGUUAGUUUAAUACACUGCUCUGAAGACUGUUGAUGCCAUUGGAGAUCCACAAACUGACUGUGGAAUGUUUUGGUUCCUGAUGGUCAAAUCUGAAGCCCUAUUCUCUAUAGUAGGGGUCAAAUCUGAAGCCCUAUUCUCUAUGUAGUGCACUAAGGGGAUAGUAGGGGUCAAAUCUGAAGCCCUAUUCUCUAUGUAGUGCACUAAAGGGAUAGUAGGGGUCAAAUCUGAAGCCCUAUUCUCUAUGUAGUGCACUAAGGGGAUAGUAGGGGUCUGCACUAUGAAGGGAAUAGGGGGGAUAAUUUGAAGAUGAAGCCUUUUUGUCACUGAUACGGUUGUGGUUUUAUACAGUACCAAUGUAAAAGCACAUUGACGAUCUAUAUUCCUUUAAUUAUGAAUGAGAUGAUGCUUUAUGGAUUCAUCCCAGACUGCUCUCUGUUUUCUACACAGAUGCAGACCUUUGAGGGAAAACUUUUAUACUUUG
ensembl:lncRNA